UAAUACGUAGGGUGCUAGCGUUGUUCGGAAUCAUUGGGCGUAAAGCGCGUGUAGGCGGUUAUUUAAGUCGAGUGUGAAAUCCCUAGGCUCAACCAAGGAAGUGCAUUCGAAACUGAAUAGCUGGAAGAUGGUAGAGGAAGGUGGAAUUCCUAGUGUAGAGGUGAAAUUCGUAGAUAUUAGGAGGAAUACCGGUGGCGAAGGCGGCCUUCUGGGCCAUUCUUGACGCUGAGACGCGAAAGCGUGGGGAGCAAACAGGAUUAGAUACCCUGGUAGUCCACGCUGUAAACGAUGGGUACUAGAUGUUGCAGGAAUUGACCCCUGCAGUGUCGACGCUAACGCAUUAAGUACCCCGCCUGGGAAGUACGGUCGCAAGAUUA
rnacentral:rRNA from 1 species